rnacentral:rRNA from 1 species
UACAGAGGUCCCAAGCGUUGUUCGGAUUCACUGGGCGUAAAGGGUGCGUAGGUGGCUUGGUAAGUUCGAUGUGAAAUCUCCGGGCUUAACCCGGAAAUGGCAUUGAAUACUAUUGAGCUGGAGGUUUGGAGGGGGGACUGGAAUUCUCGGUGUAGCAGUGAAAUGCGUAGAUAUCGAGAGGAACACCAGUGGCGAAGGCGAGUCCCUGGACAACUUCUGACGCUGAGGCACGAAAGCUAGGGGAGCAAACAGG